rnacentral:sRNA from 1 species
UGUCAUCGUUCGCAUAAAAAUUUAAUUGUUUGUUAAAACUUUCGAAUAGUAUAGUGUUUUCUUCGGAAUUAAAAUUGAUUUAAUGCUUUUGUGUGUGGUUGUUUUAAAAUUUAUUACAAAAAAAUUAUGAAAAGUUCAAGCAAGAGACAUUUAAGGAGGCUUUUUAAAAAGAAAGAAUAUCUAGAUGUCUCUCCCAGAAAUUAGUCGCAAAACUCUUGGUUUAUAACCCAUAGCUAAAUAUCCCAAUAAGGCGGAGGCAUGCCAAAAUUGUUAGAAGCAAAUAAACAAUACAAUACAAAGUCUUCAAGAAACCAUCACAACCCAAAACGAUGUGAUUAUGAAAACUCUUUCUGAACAUAAAGUGUUAAAAGGAAGAAUUUUAUAUCAGGAAGUGACUCAGAAUAAUUUGGCCUUUACAUUCCCUUUAGACUCUAUAAAUGGCUUAAGCGAUGAAUUUAUUAAUUUUGGUU